rnacentral:rRNA from 1 species
GAUGAACGCUGGCGGCGUGCCUAAUACAUGCAAGUCGAGCGAACAGACGAGGAGCUUGCUCCUCUGACGUUAGCGGCGGACGGGUGAGUAACACGUGGAUAACCUACCUAUAAGACUGGGAUAACUUCGGGAAACCGGAGCUAAUACCGGAUAAUAUAUUGAACCGCAUGGUUCAAUAGUGAAAGACGGUUUUGCUGUCACUUAUAGAUGGAUCCGCGCCGCAUUAGCUAGUUGGUAAGGUAACGGCUUACCAAGGCGACGAUGCGUAGCCGACCUGAGAGGGUGAUCGGCCACACUGGAACUGAGACACGGUCCAGACUCCUACGGGAGGCAGCAGUAGGGAAUCUUCCGCAAUGGGCGAAAGCCUGACGGAGCAACGCCGCGUGAGUGAUGAAGGUCUUCGGAUCGUAAAACUCUGUUAUUAGGGAAGAACAAAUGUGUAAGUAACUAUGCACGUCUUGACGGUACCUAAUCAGAAAGCCACGGCUAACUACAUG